GUUUAUUCUCUUUUUAAAACCAAGAAAUAAUUUUCCUGAUGAAAAAUGUUUGAUUUAAGAGACUUCCAAAAUCUAGACCCAGGCACAACAUUUACCUCAUUUCCUGGGCAGGUUUCAAGUUUGCAGGUCUUGGUGUGGACAGAAAAAUCCAUCGCAUGUAGCUGCAAUUACACUGGGACUCAGAAGAUUAGAAGAUGCUUUGCUCUCCUGCUCCUGCUUGCUAGAAUGGAAGAGGUCAUCUAUUUUUAAAGUACUUGGCAGAGGACCAGCACAGGCACUGCAGAUGUGAUACAUCGACUUCAUCACUGUCUGCUCCUCUUGGCAUGGCCAGAUCAUCAGGUUAUCUUCUACUUGCCUGUUUCCAUGGAAGUCAGCUCUCUUUGGGAUGGCUUACUUCAGCUUCAGCAGCUUUCCAGACCACAUCUGGGGGUUAACACACCACUUCCACUGAGUGUCACCUUCUUGGAGCAGGAAUAUGAUUUGUAAUGGGACAUCUGAAGGAAGUGAAGGCUCCUGUCUAAGCUCAGGAAAGCAGUUGUGUAUAUAAUUCAGGAGAUCUGUAUGAAGCAGACCAGCAGAGUUUAGGCUGGCAUCAAGAGCAAGAAGGACAGACAGCCCAAUACAUUAUGGCUGCUGAUGAGCGGGACAGACAGGCAUCCUGGAGUGAUUGGAAGAUGCUGUAGAAGACAGCUUUCCAUUGAGGGCUCACCCCAGUGCUCAUUUGAUUAUUCAAGGUUUGGAGGACGUCUGUACUGAUCAGUGACAUUCGUGGGUCUUCUUAGCAGCUGCUGCCUCCGGUGUUCUUUCAGCUUCCUGUUAACCCAGAAGAGUGGGAGAUGAGACCUUGGUGUUCUGAUACAGAUUGUUUUGACUCCAUGCAUCGCAGUUUGUGCCUGCAGAUAUGUAGCUGGUCAGUACACAUUGUUUCUUUCUCUGAUUGCGGUCUUGAAAUUUCUAAACUGGAGAAUAAUAACUAGCAGAAAGUGAGUACUGUAUCUCAUGCCUCUGGUGACAACUUCCAGGUGAAUAAUAACUCAUCCUUGGUAUAAUGGAUCUCUAAGAGCUUCUGAAUACUUUCACCACAUUAUGCUUGAAGAUAGAACUGCUUGUGUUUGUAGGGUUUUUUCUUGUUUAGUUGGUUUUGCUUCUCUCGUCUCUUUUGGUCCCCAGGGACCAGGAAGAAGACACAAGGCUAUCAGUGCCCAUGAGGUAAGCGCCCUGCUUCCUAGACUGCCCUUAGGAAAGAGAGGCAGAUUGCUGGGUCAAGGGCCAGCAUGGACUAGCAUCUAUUAUACUGCAAAUGUUGGCAGCGAAUGGAAAAAUUAUCUAUCUGCCCCAGGGGACGCCUACUGCAUCGGUGUACAAUCUUCCUGUUCCAGGGAGUGAGAAUUAAACAUCCCUAGUAGGUCCCUUCUGGGCCAUUUCCCUGAGAAAAGCCAGAGAUUCUCUGUUCUAGUUUUAUAUAUUUAUAUACAUACAUACACUUUUUCAGUCUUACUGAAAUUUGGCUCCCCACCUUAUCCCAGGAUUCUAUCUCACAGCACGUGCUCAGAGUCCAUAUGCUGCUUCCUAAAUCUUCCUUGCCUGUACUUCCUAGUUGGAGUGCUGUCGGCCAGAGAUUCCCUGGACCUGCUUGCUUGUGUGCAACACCAUAAGAUCCUGCGAAAGGAGCACAUAAUCUCCCUGUAGCUAGAGGAAGGUGUAUGCUGGUGUUUCUUGGAUGAACCAAGGCUGAAAUUCUCAAUGGUAGCUAGGAACAUGGCUAUGCCUCUCUCAUGUAGCAGUUUAAUUGUGGAUGAAUCCCCUGUGCUUCUUUGAACCCCUCAGGACAGAUCUUGAACAACAAGUUAUCAAAAGGCUGCCUGUAUUUCCAAUGAGAUCUAUUGUCCUGAGACUAUUCCAGGUUAAGAAAAGAUGCUUUGCUUCUACUUUUCAUUUCAGCUGCAUAAAAAAAAAUCUAACACAUGCUGUUAGGUAUGGCUUUCUAGUCUCUCUGGGCUGCUUCCACAUAUCCUUACUGCUCUUGAAAGCAGGUCUCAUCAUACAAAGACAGCUUUCCCUACCUGCUGCGAAGUGGCCAACCAACAGUCUGGCUCCCCCUCAUGUUUCUUGAAAGCAUUUAAGAAGGGCACGUUUUUGCCUGUUUUCAGUGCAGUGCUUCUUAGCUUUCCACCGAUAUUCUGCUGAGGACUGUAAGUUUCUUUGGCCACCUGGGCAGACAGGUAGCAUCACAGAGAAUUUAGGCAGAGCCUUGGCUCAGUUUUCCUUCUCUUCCUUUUCUUGGGUCCCAUGGAAGCAGCCCGUGGACUUCCCUGGGUCUGUACACCAGAGGCAGAAUGCAAGCCAGCAGAUGCUGCUCUGCUCCUGUUUUAGCAAAGCUUUUCAAAAAGCUUCUCCAAGCCUCUGUUCCUUAGAGAGCAGAGAACUGUAAAGGCCAAAACUUGUUUCCAUUUUAAUCAUAUCAUAAUUCCAGUAGGUGCCUGUGAAGCAGAAAAGAGCAGCUCUCUCCCUAUUAUAGAGAGCUGAAUAAUUCAGAUACCUUCUCUAGGCCUCCUCCUCUCUUCCAAGAUAAUAAUCGUCCCACAUUUUAGUGCUGCCACAAAAACCAGCCACCCAGGACUUCACUGUGCUCACUAGGCUUUGUACUGACAGAGGAGAAAAUGCAGAAAAGAGAUUUUUUUAAUUUAAUUGCUGGAACAUGAGUCCUGGGACAUCACCGUGUGUCUCUGGUUCCCUCAGAAGCUGGGCAGUGCAGAUCCCACAUGUAUGGGUAUGUGCUCAUAUGGGAGCACAGGGGGGAGGAUGUUUAUGCAGCCCAAGACUGGGGAUUUGGCCUAAAUGGGAGAAAUCUUGCUGCUGUUUCCCUGUGGUUUUGGCCAUAUUACUUUUUCAGUGAUAUGGCUGUGACUUGUUCCUCCACAUUCCCAGCAUGUGCUGAUGGGCACGGCUGGGUUCAGCCAAGCAAGUUGAAGUUCCUGUGCCAUCAGAUUAUACCAUUAUAUGUUAGAUACAAGCAGAACCAGAGUAAAUCUGUAGUGGAUAUACACACCACAGUCCUUACCUGACAGUGUAAAGCCAGGUAAAGACUCCAAGAUAAAGUAAUUAUGAAGAAAGCUGCUCACAAACAAACCUUCCCUAUGUAUUACAAAUGUUACCACAGUUUUUCAGUAGCUAAAAAUGUUUGUUCUUUGAAAGAUAUCCAAAUUGAGGAGAGCUCUGCAGACAUACAGUUAGAAUAACGAGUGUAUAGGCUGGCUGUGAGCGCUCCUGCAGAUGAAUCCCAAAGGGAAGAAGAGGAGGCUGUAGUGGGAGCUAGAAGGAGCACUGGCAAAUCUAUGACUCAACACUGUUGGGACGGGUAAUAUGAUAAAAAACUUCAGAGAACAAAGGAAAUCCUGGAAUUGUUAUAGAUCUUUUAUGAUAUGAUGUUAUCUUCCAAAAUAUCUAAUAUUCCUGCAGUGGGGGAAAAAAAAGCCAGCAGUACCCACUAAAUCUCUAUCCUCAGUUUUCUUACAGAAGCUAGGUGGCAUAUUAGAAUCCUAUGAGAUGAAUGAGUGAUUCUAUGUUAUUUUAUGUUAACAACCAAAGUUGCUGAAUAAAAGCAAUUAUUAGCAUUAAAUAUUCCCAAGUCAGGACAACCAGAUAAUGCACAAGAGGAUUCUAAAAGCUCCCUGAAGAUUUCUCUGGAGAGUUGAUGCCAAUUUUGAAUAAAAUUUGAAAAAACAGGUUGCAAACUUUGUGCUGGCUCUUGUAAAGUGUGAAUGGGACAACAGAGGCACCUGUCGAUCUGCUGCAAUACAAUGCAGGAUGUGGUCUUCAGAAAAGCUCUCCUAGUUUUCGAGAGGUACCUGGAUUUCAAGAGUACCAGGGAUUCUGGCACCGAGGUCAUACAUGAAGACGUGAGAAAGAAGAUGGCCCUUCCUUUAUUUUUCCAUGAUUCUGGGAGCAGCUUUGGCUAAUGGAGGAGGACCUGCGCGCUUGAAAAGGCUGCUCAUAGAGAAUCCCUGCUUCCUCCUGGGCAUGAAGGCUGACUUAUCUACUCACUGCAUCAGUUUCUCCAGGCAGACAGUCUUCCAAAUUAAGAAAUGCGUGUAGCCUCAAAUUUCUGGCAACCAAAAGGGAGGAAAAGAACUUCACUCUCAAAAGAAAUCUCCACGUUCCAUGAGAAACUCUCACAUUCUCUAGUUGUAUCAGAUAAUAAAAAAAAUCAAUAAAGAAAUAGAGAAUGAAAAGCUGUCUGGUAGAUGUUGGUCAAGCAGGAAACUGGGAAGGAGAAAACACGGUUGGCAAUGGCGCUGCGAACCAGCCAGAAACAAAGGAAAUAAACAAGGAAAUGCUGAGGGAUGGACGGAGAUGUUUUCUACAGAGGUUGUUCUAAACUCUGUACAUUAACCACGAGAGAGGGAGAUACUUCUCCGAACCACGAUGUAACACAUUCCAAUGCUACCUCUGGCAGCACUACGUGACCGAAUCUCACCUACAGAAUCUGGGCUCUUCACCAGCUCCAUCCCAGGCACAUAGCAAUGGGAGCUACAAGAUGACUACAUCUGCCUUUUGCAGAAGCCCAAACCAGGCUGGAUAUUUUGAUUUUAAAUUCUCAAGCCAGUCCUCCCAGUGCAGUUUGUAGCACACCUUAAAGUUGAAGCUCACACUCUAAGAAAAGGAGCGUAAAGAAAACAAGAAAAAAUCUUCAAGUGUUUUUUGGAAGUCCUUGCAGUGCAACUCCUAGAGGUGUACAGAAACAUGAUUUUCAGCUCAGUGGGACAUUAAUGAAGCUCUUCCUCUUAAGCAGGAUCUGUACUGUCAGUGCUCUUGCUUCAGAGAAAGUCGGUUUUUGGCUUUAAAACACCAUGCAUCACAGGCAUUAAUAUUACCCACAUUAAUGUACAAUUUAGAGACUGUAAGAAGCUCCCAGUGCUACACCUGCAAAUAACAAAUAGAAGAUGGCUCUCCCCCCAAAAUCACUGCAGGAGUGCUGGGGACAUGGAGGGAUCAGACCAAACGCAGCCAACAGCUACUCAGGCAGAAUGAGCUUUAAAGCAAUGGCACUUAAAGGAGUACAAAAAGGCAGUUGCCUUUUAGUUACUUCUGGCUUGGGAAUCUUUAAAUAUUUUGUGUAUCAGCUCGGGUCUUCUGCCACCUCCCAGUCAGAGGACAAGAAAGCACUAUUUUUAAAAUGAAAGCUGAGAAAGCCAUGUCCUCAGAAGCUUUAAGGAAAAUACCAAGUGUGACGCGUGAGGGCAAAACCAUAGUGCUGUGCCACUGCUCUUUUGGUGGCUUUCAGAUCCAGAGUUUAGCACAAAAUCGAGGCUGCUUUCCCCUCACAUUCUUCAAUGCUAUAGAUCAGGGCAAUGCGCUGCCCUUUAAGCAAAUGCAUUUUAAAAAGCAAUUUGAUUAUCUUCAUUGUGCAAUUAUCAGCAGCUGAGAUCAGCAAAAAUCAGAGGUUUAUAAUUAUAUCCAAUUUCCCACUCAUUACAGACAAUAAGAUCUGGACGGUCAUUUUCCUUUUUGUUUAUAAUUAGUUUCUACUUACAAUUAUCUUCAGACUGUAAUGCGUUAGAACUACACGAAAUAGUUGGAAAUUACUUGCUGUAAAAUUCUUAUUUGUUUUUUCCUCGAGGACUUCCAAGCACACAGAAGGAUUUAUUUGACACAGAC
ensembl:lncRNA